rnacentral:ribozyme from 1 species
UACAAGAAACUGGUACACCAGUUCGAUUUUGCGCAAGAACUUCUGGCACUGGCGUCUCUGACCGACCGGGCUAAGCCGAAAUUGCAGCAGAGGGCUGCCACUGUAGCAAAAAACCAU